rnacentral:rRNA from 2 species
UCUGAAUCUGCGUACGGCUCCGCAAACCAGUUGUAAACUAUUGCUAGCACGCUCAUCGUCUUCGGAUGGUGGGCUAUAAGGAUAACCCUGGUAAUUCUGAGGCUAAUACUCGACCGUAAAACUCGCUGGUCUGGGUAACUGGUAAGGCGAGGGACGUGUAAUUGAUCGCAGGAGAUGCCGGGAAAGGAUGCACGUUCUGACCACCAUACAAACAGUAUCCUGGAAGCUCGCAAGGGCAGAAGGGUGUCUGGGUGGCUCUAGCAUUGUGCUUCUGACCUAUCAACUAGAUGGCAGUGUAAGGGACAUGCCAUGGU